GAGAGGAUGGGAAUACCAGCAGCACAGAUGAGUGGGUCACCCAAGUUAUUGCGGCCCUCAGCUGAGAACCUUCCAAUUAUCAUGUCAGGCAUGGAGGAAACAUACACCAGUCUCAGAGCCUGGAAUAUUCGGAGAGUACCCACGGUUUUUGGACAUGCCAAGUCUGGCUGGACUUGGAGUUUGGCAAUCUUACAGGAGGAAAGGUGGAUCUCUUUUUGCGAAAAUGGGAAGCCAGUAUCAUUCCGAAGCUCAAAUCAGUAGCUGCCCUGGAAACAAGAACCCCCCCGCCAUGUGUUAACACACCUACUCCCACCAGUUGGUGCCAGUCGUUGCAGCCUUUUUUGCACUGCCUGGAACAAGUAUUGCAUCGCUUUGCAGUGAUCCUGAAGCAUCAUCCACAACACACCAACCCCAGCUGAUAUGCAUCGGUGAUCUAAAGAGGGCAACCAGGCAGUACAUCAUUGUUGCUAAGAAUGACAGAGUAACCAUUUCUCUGAAUGAUGGCCUGACGUGUGCUGUGGAUAAGCUUUUCAAACUGUACUGGGUAUGUAACUUGUCCUAUCCAGCACCACUUGGCUCCGUCUUCACCUUCUUUGAUUUUGUCUAUGACCUGCCGCUGUCCACCCAAAGGAAAACCAAAGUACUGGAGCUGAUUGCACAGAUUAAAGGAUGCAAGUAAAAUGUUCACCUGUCCAAAAUGUAGAGAG
ensembl:lncRNA